rnacentral:rRNA from 1 species
AUUGAACGCUGGCGGCAUGCCUUACACAUGCAAGUCGAACGGCAGCACGGGAGCUUGCUCCUGGUGGCGAGUGGCGAACGGGUGAGUAAUAUAUCGGAACGUACCCUAGAGUGGGGAUAACGCAGCGAAAGUUGCGCUAAUACCGCAUACGAUCUACGGAUGAAAGUGGGGGAUCGCAAGACCUCAUGCUCAUGGAGCGGCCGAUAUCUGAUUAGCUAGUUGGUGGGGUAAAGGCCUACCAAGGCAUCGAUUAGUAGCUGGUCUGAGAGGACGACCAGCCACACUGGAACUGAGACACGGUCCAGACUCCUACGGGAGGCAGCAGUGGGGAAUUUUUGGACAAUAGGGGGGCGAACCCCUACGAUCCAGCAAUAGCGCGUGAGU